rnacentral:misc_RNA from 1 species
GUCCAUUGUAAGAGAUCUUAUCCGUUCAAAUCUUGAUAUAAAUUCUUAACUUUCUAAAAGCCUACCUCCUCUCCUCUUUUUCCUCCUUUCUCUCUUUGUCGGCACUACUCUCUCCUCAUCUCUUCUUCUCACUCUCUUCUUCGUUCACCCUUGCCAUUUGUUAUUGUGACUUUCACUGCAUGUUAUGUUUUGAACCAUCAAGUCACUGACCGACUAGCGCAUUCUCGAGUUCUCCAACUAUCCAAGCAUAACGCGAUGCCCAUAUCACGCACUUCCAUUUCUGUGUCUUGAUAUUCCCAACAUCGCAAUAUCUCAAGUGUUCAUCAACACCAUGACAUCACAGGCUCUUCUAAGCAUAGUUGUAUCCCAACAACCUCGCUCUCACCCUUUGAAUAUCAAUCUUUUUUUUUAAUUUUUUAUGAUUGGUUAUUGUGUUUUCCAUCUUCAUCAACACAAUUUCUCGUUGUUGAUGAAAUGGAUUGCUGAUUUUUUUGUCUCUCUUGAUGAAAAAGAUUAUUGAAUCUCAGUUGAGAAAAUUGGGAUUUUGCCCUUUGUUGUCUUUUUUUUUUUAUGAUUUAGUUUAUUAUGAAAGAUUUUGAACCCAUGUUGGUGUGUAAUUAGGNNNNNNNNNNNCAACUUUAAUCACAGAGAAAUCACUAGUUAUGUCUGGACUUGCAACUCCCGUGAAACAAUU